CUGGUUGAUCCUGCCAGACCCGACUGCUAUCGGAUUGGGACUAAGCCAUGCGAGUCAACUCCGCAAGGGGUGGCGCACGGCUCAGUAACACGUAGUCAACCUACCCUGGGGACGGGGAUAACCUCGGGAAACUGAGGCUAAACCCCGAUGGGCCAUGGCUCCUGGAAUGGGCUAUGGCUGAAAUCUACAUGGCCCCAGGAUGGGACUGCGGCCGAUCAGGUUGUUGGUGGGGUAAUGGCCCACCAAGCCUAUAACCGGUGCGGGCUCUGAGAGGAGGAGCCCGGAGAUGGGCACUGAGACAAGGGCCCAGGUCCUAUGGGGCGCAGCAGGCGCGAAACCUCCGCAAUGGGCGAAAGCCCGACGGGGUCAGUCCGAGUGGUUCCCGCUGAGGGAACCUUUUGCCAGCUGUAAACAGGCUGGCGAAUAAGGGGUGGGCAAGUUUGGUGUCAGCCGCCGCAGUAAUACCAGCACCCCGAGUGGUCGGGACGAUUAUUGGGCCUAAAGCAUCCGUAGCCGGCGCAGUAAGUCCUCCGUUAAAUCCAACGGCUCAACCGUUUGGCUGCGGGGGAUACUGCUGGGCUAGGGGACGGGAGAGGCGAGGGUUAUUCCCGGGGUAGGGGUAAAAUCCACUGAUCCCGGGAGGACCACCAGUGGCGAAGGCGCCUCGCUAGAACGUGCCCGACGGUGAGGGAUGAAAGCUGGGGGAGCGAACCGGAUUAGAUACCCGGGUAGUCCCAGCCGUAAACGAUGUAGGCCCGGUGUUGGGCUGCCUCAGUGGCAGCCCAGUGCCGCAGGGAAGCCGUUAAGCCUACCGCCUGGGGAGUACGGCCGCAAGGCUGAAACUUAAAGGAAUUGGCGGGGGUGCACCAC
rnacentral:rRNA from 1 species